AAUUCAACCCCCGCCCCACCUUGCCAGUUUGGAUUUCACUGGGUCUCAGUCGGAUCCACUUCACGCUGUUCUACACUCAUUUCGUCUGGCUUUGGCCUUUGUCAUUAGUCCCAUUGACAACUGCUAAUUGUGUUCUCUUCUGGCUGAAACUUCCUCUGCUUAUCUAAGCCGCACAAAUAAUGUACUUAAAUGAUGGGUAUACUCGAGAUUUUUCGGAUAGAGGUUACACAUUUGGGUAAUAUUUAGUGGUAUCAUAAAGGUGUUUUUCGGCACGAUAUGAUCUGGAUGAUUGUUUAUUCUAUUGCA